rnacentral:tRNA from 1 species
GAGCCGUUAGCUCAGCAGGUAGAGCAUCUGACUUUUAAUCAGGUGGUCACAGGUUCGAUCCCUGUACGGCUCACCA